UCAACAGGGGUGAUGAUGGUGUGUUCGUUUCGAUAUUUUCCGUUAAGUUACGAAAAUGGCCGAAAACGUUGCCACAAACACGUCAACAGUCCUUUGACGUGACGUCAACAAUGCUUUAAUGUUUUAAUGUGCGAACAGAAUCGCCGUGUGUCAUUUUAUAAUCACAUUUAUUUGCAUGUAGCCUACAUAAAUGUGAAAUAUCUGUGCCUGGAUCUACUACUGCCUAAUAACGACAGCUAACUACUGUACUGAUCUGUUGCGAAAAGGUGGGGUGGGGUGGGGGGGGGGGGGGGGGGGGGGGUGGAGGCCCGCGUUAUCCCACUUCCUUCUUUCCUUUCUCUCCUUUCAAUUCCAUCUCAUUUCUUCCCGAUCUGACAACUCCCCCUAUCUAUCAUCUUCUUUCGCUGUCCACUUCCACACCCCAGUCCUUUUCUCUCCAACCGCGACAUGUGCUUGCCUCUUAUGGCUAUCCGUGCCACACACCUGUCAUUUCCCAUCAACUUUAGCGGUGGGCUUAGUCUGGCCACUUCGGAGAGUAUUCAGUAGUUACUUCUGGCAUUGUUAAGAGAUACUUCUUACCACCUACUAUUCUCCCCUACUACCGGCGGUCGUUAGUGCCGUGGGUCAGACCAGCUUUAUUAGUGCCAGGUGGGUGCAGGGAGGUACACAGAGACUGCACCCGUAGAGGAAGUUGAAACAGGUAGGUGUUGGUGUGGACAGCUCAGAAGACAGGAGGAAACUGACAGAAUGGGUCGAAACAGAUUGAAAUUGUGGGAGAAAAUGGUAAGGUUUUUUAAUAUUAAGUUAAUGAGAACGAUGGGCAGAUGGUUAUAGAUGGGAAAGAUGAAUGGAAGUGUGAGCCAGCUUUGACUGGAUUUGAACCACUGUCGUCAGCUUGAUUGUCCAGCAGCUUAUCCACUAGACCACGGAGCUCACUUAGCAGUAUAGAGUUAGCGAAAAGAGUUUGCUUGUUCUUUUUGUACAAAUCCAUGUUUUAAGACUCAUUAUAAGGAAUAUUAAAUACAUUCUUAACCAUAGUGAUAGCAUAGUUAUUUUAAAAAUUACAUUUGUUUUUUUCCUCAGGUGUGCAACCUGUUUGGUUGUAACGAGGCCCUGUAUUCAAACCCUUUUAAAAAUAACAAAACUAACAGAAACUGAUUCAGGCUCGAGUUCAACACACGCAUUCGCAUAUAUAGGGUCAGUAUAUACAAGCAGAACACACUGACUUAGGCCUACGGGACCGCACAGAUUGAAAGAAAGUAUUGAGACGUGUCCAUAAGAAACAACAACAGGCAGUGAUCAAUAAUACAAAUAUAUAUUUUUAUGAUCAAGGAUUUAAAAGAAAACAGAGAAAAUAGUGACGAAGAGGGAAGAGAAUUAGAAGGAAGAAGAUUUUGAAGAAGACUACAACGGAGAUAAAUGGAAUACGGAAAAAUAGUAACUUGUUCUGAAUUAUAUAAAACCUGAAACCCUGCUAUCUCAAAACAAGCCAUACACUAAAUUAGUCUUAAUACAUAUGGCUAUAAAACUAAUCUGUAUACAGCUAAUUUCUAUAAUAACAAUAUAAUUAUAUAUAUAUAUAUACAUAUAAACAUUUAGUGAAAUAUCUUAAAAUAUCAGUGAAAUAAAACUGUUAUCAGUCACUCAAGGCUGGUUUAUACUUCAGUACGAUCUGACAUCGUAUCGAACGCAUAGGUCGCAAGGAGAUCUGAAUGUCAUCGUACUGAACGCAUUGAAAUCGGACAUGUGUUGGCUACGAUAACAAUUAUACGCACGGGAUGCAAUCGCAUGCAUAUCGGACCAUUUAACUUUGAGUUAUUUCAUGCGAUAAAUAAAUGCGAUGGCGGGCCAGAAGCGACAAAGAAAAACAGGUCUUUUUAGUGCUGCAGAUGAUGAGCAACUUAUAGAAUAAGUUAGAAAGUAUCCUAAUCUGUAUGAUACGUCUAUGCGGGAAUACAGAGACACAGAAAGAGCCGAUAAUUGUUGGGAGAAAAUAGAGCAGGCGACUGGAAUAGCCGCUAAUGAUUUGAAAUCAAGAUGGAGAAAUCUGAGGGACGUCUUCGCCAGAGAGAAGAAGAAAAUGUCGGGAAGAAGUGGUGAUCCAGGGGGCCAAAAGUUGGAAGUAUUUCCAAUUAAUGUUAUUUCUAUCGCCCUUUAUCAAACAUCGUGACAUCGAAAGUAACGUGCCGAGAAUGGCUGAAGAUGACGAACGGGCCGACGAAAUAGAUGUACAAGAUGUCACCCAACAAUCUGGUGGUGAUACGGAAAACGUCGCCGAUGUCUGCAAUGAACUCGAUGAGCGAAAAAACGUGACUGGUACAAAUGACAUGUCACGUUCAACGACACCGGUGGAAACAGAAGAGAUGUCCAAACACAAGUGCAAAAAACUGAGGAAAACCAAGCCGCCAUCGGACCCAGUAGACGAUGCCAUCCUGAACUUUGUACAAGACAGGUCCCAAGCGUAUGUCGAUAACGACAAAGAUCCAGAAGUAAUGUUUGAAAAAAUGGUAGCUACAUCCCUUGCGUAAUUUUUCAAGGCAGACCAGAGGACUUGCGAAGCUAAAGAUCCAACAGGUCCUGUAUGAAAUGGACCAGAAAGAUCAGGAAACUACACCAGCAACAACAACUAUGCCUAGCUCAAGUGCGUAUCCUGAUGACCAUCACUAUCAACCAAACGUUCCCUGGGUUCCUCCGCAGGAAUCCACGUCAUUCCAUCAGUACUCACAAUAUUAGAACAACUCAUUUUAUUUAAUUAAAUUUUACUGAUUCCAAAAACACUUUGGUGUAUACGUAUGGACUAAUAUAAGACUGUCCGUUUAAAGUUGGAUGUAUUACACAAUGAAAAUAAACAUGUGAAACAUGGCCUAAUGUUAUGGGUUUUUUUUAAUUUGUUGCUCAUAAUAACAAAACAAAACAUUCACAUUUAUUUCAUAAGUACUAAUACUUUCAAUAUAUUCUAUAAUUAUACUAAUCCGAUUCGAGAUAGACAGAUCUUUUAUUUAACGACACACUCAACACAUUUUAUUUUCGGUUAUAUGGCGUCACAUGGUUAAGGAUAAUCUGAGAGUGACAAAGAAAAACUGCUGCCGCCACAUGGGCUACUCUUUCCGAUUAUGCACCAUUCCACAAAUAGGAUAGCGCAUACCACGACCGUUAUAACACAAGUGGUGGAGCACUGCUGACCUACCGCACCAGUUUUCGAAGCUAAGAAUCGUUAAAUUGUCGUAACUGAUGACGUCACAACGUAAUUUGAUAUAUAACGUCAUCACUUAAAAGAGUUUUACGUAAUCGUAGCGCUAAGAGCUUUGAAAAAUACACCCAGGGCAGGAUCGGACGCUCUACCGCUGAGGUACGUCCCGCUUAGUUCGAUUCACUGCCACUUUCAUGUGGUAAUGUUCUGUCAACAACAUUGUCCUGCCAAGGUAUACUUCCAUGAUUCGUCUGAAAAUAAGUCACGAAGUGGUCCCGAAUCCUGCUGGCCUCCCUUGAUGCCGUGUUAGCACCCAGUCUUCCUACUGGCAGUAAGUUUGUGUCAUUACGUGUCAUCUCUCGCCAUUCUCCAGGACGUAAGCUGCCAUCUUCACCCACAUUAUCGACAAACUGUAGAUGUACGUAUCCAUCUGCUGGAACUGUGGCUGCGUCGCUAGAUUUCAGAUAGUUGUGAAGUGCAACAGUUGCCGUAACAAUAUCAUCAACGUUGGGUGGUAAAGCUUCAAUCGGUUUCUGAAAGAUGCGCCACCUUGCUGCUAAUAUCCCGAAACCAUUUUCCGAUAUCCUGCGAGCCCUCGAAAGUCGGUAGUUGAAUAUUCUCUGGCCCCUUGGUAUAUUGUGCCCUGGAAAGGUAAAAUGUAAUUGGAAUCACUAACUCCCUGUGUGAAAUGUCGUAUAUAUAAUAUAAAUGUAAUAUCUGGUUUAUUAUUAUUAUGCUAUUUGAUUUGAACCUUUUCUUAGAAGCGAACUACUUACCUGGAUACGAUCUCACCAUGUGGGUCUGCAAUGGGAACGCCCCAUCACCAACAAACACGUAUGGGCAAGUCUCUUGGGAUCCUGGAUGGACAGCUUGAUCUGGGAUGUCUAAAGUACCACUUUGCAGUCGUCGUCCAAAAUGUGUACGGCCAAAAAUACCACUAUCACAUUCUCGACCAUACGCACCAACGUCGAUUAUAGAGAACUUAUAUCUUGCAUCCACUACAGCCAUGAGGAUUAUGGAGAAACACUUCUUGUAGUUAAAGAAGUCACUUCCUGACAUGGGCAAUGCGUUUAUUAUCACGUGCUUGCCAUCUAUAGCGCCCAGGCAAAGCGGAAAAUUCCAGUACAACCAGAAAUCGGCUGCUAUUUGUGUCCACUGUUCUUGGGAAGGAAAUGGAACACUUCAUGUUUUAAAGCUUCCCAAAUGGCGACGCAUGUUUCGUGGAACGCUUUGUUUACCGUGGCCUUUCCUAACCGGUAACUGUCUGCUACACUCUGCUGUGAAUUGCCACUUGCAAGUAUUCGAAGGGUCAACGAAAGUCGUUCCGCUGCCGAUACUGGAACGCUGUGUGUAAUAAGUGGUGCUACUCUAUUCAGCAAAUCAUCAAAUCUAUCCAUCGCCAUACGAAAGUAUCUGAAGUGUACUUGGUUAUCUUGUAAAAUACGCAUGUCUCGGACUAGAGAAUGGAACUCCCCAUUGUAUGGUCUAGUUCUGUUAAGUGGACGAAUAUACCACUCCCUCCUCUGCUCGUCUCUUUUGUUGCGCUUUCACCUCCGAAGAAAAUGUAUGAGCAAGACGUCAUCCAUCUUGAAAGUACCAAACGCAAAUAGGCGAUCGCAUGCACUUGAAAAGUAUAAAUGCCUCUCCGAUAUUUAUCGUAAGAAUCGCGGCUAUUCGCAAACCAAACGGUUCAACGGACGUAUGAACUAGUCCUUUGAAUACGAUAUAUAUCGGAUGAAAUUCAUACGAUCACAGAUAGUACUGAAGUAUAAACCAGCCUUCAGUGACGAUAACACAUUUUAGAGUGACUGUAAGAAAACCGGAACUAUUUUCAUCCCGACCCCACCCAUCCCUGAAACAGACUUUGCUCCCUUUUAUUGUUUGUGUUGAUUUCUGCUUCAAGAAAAAUAGUUGAAAUAGUAGUACAACUCUUUUUAAAUUUCACUUCCAUGUGAUAAAUAAAAUAUCCAAUAACU